rnacentral:rRNA from 1 species
UGAGGAACAUGACCUUCGGCGGGGGAUAGCCGGCCCAACGGCCGGGUAAUACCGCGUACGACCACUUUGGGACAUCCCUCGGUGGUGAAAGCAGCAAUGCGCCGAUGGAGUGCCUCGCGGCCUAUCAGCUAGUUGGUGAGGUAACGGCUCACCAAGGCGACGACGGGUAGCUGGUCUGAGAGGAUGGCCAGCCACAUUGGGACUGAGACACGGCCCAGACUCCGUACGGGAGCAG